GUGCCAGCCGCUGCGGUAAUACGAAGGGGGCUAGCGUUGUUCGGAAUUACUGGGCGUAAAGCGCACGUAGGCGGACAUUUAAGUCAGGGGUGAAAUCCCGGAGCUCAACUCCGGAACUGCCUUUGAUACUGGGUGUCUCGAGUAUGGAAGAGGUAAGUGGAAUUGCGAGUGUAGAGGUGAAAUUCGUAGAUAUUCGCAGGAACACCAGUGGCGAAGGCGGCUUACUGGUCCAUUACUGACGCUGAGGUGCGAAAGCGUGGGAGCAAACAGGAUUAGAUACCCUGGUAGUCCAACGCCGUAAACGAUGAUAGCUAGCCCGU
rnacentral:rRNA from 1 species